UCCUUGCCUUCUGCCUUGAUCAUGAGGCUUCCCCAGCCACAUGGAACUGAUUAGGUUAUCAGAGACUGUGACGUCCAUCUCUCUCGUUUGCUUGCUGUGAUGAAGCCAGCUGCCUUGUUGUGAACUUCCCUACAGAGAGGCCACAUGGCAAAAAGCUGAGCAUGGUCUCUGCCGAACAGCCAGUGAGGACCUGAGGCUCUCAGUCCAACAGUCCACAAUGAAUUGAAUCCUGCCAGUAACCACUGAGUGGGUUUGGGAGAGAAUCCUGUUGAACCUUGAAAUGACUGGAGUGCUGGUUGACACCACAAUUGGAACUUACAAAAGACUCUGAGCUGGAGGACCUAAUGAAGCCAUAUUUGGAUCUCUGGCCCAUAGAAACUGUGAGAUCAGGAUGCUAACUAAAUCAUUCAAGUCCAUACAACUCCGAAAUGGCAGAGUGGAAAGCAAACCAGGAUGCUGAAUUUGAAAGUCCACGUUCUUAACCAUCAGAUCACACUGACUGACUCAGUUUUCACAUUGAGAGGGAAAAAUAUUACCAAGUUUCCUCUGGAAAGAUCUGGAAGAAGGUAGGUUUACGAGGUCUGAAUUGAAUGGGAGCUAUAAAAGAAGUACAGGUUUCAUGCAGAGAAUCUGAAGCUCUAUGUACGCUUGCAUAUUUUAGAGCUGAAUUCCUGGAGGGUUGUGCAGCCUCUUCAUCUAAUACGAUUGAAUUUGGCCCUAUCUUCAGAUUUAGUCAUUUCUUCCAUGACGGCGUAUUAAAUGACAAUCUCAAAUAAAGACCCGCUCAUCUGAACAAAGGGAACACGCCCCACUCAGGCCCUUCUUUGAUUUAUAACCAAUUCUCUUUUAACAUGUGGACCCAACAAACGGGAGAUGGCUGACUAGCUCGAACAAUGAACUUGUUAGUUAACAGAAUUAACAGUGUGUUGUUGCACUGUGAUGACAGUAAUAAAACAGGAGACGUGAAGCCGAUAUAGUCACAACUAAAUCGUAAUGGAUGAGAUAUUUACAGCAAAGCUGUUAAAACAUUGAAUAAAAUAUGGGAAGAGCAAAAGCAGAUGUGUUUUUAUUCUUCUGAGUUGAAGCUUGCAAGGUAAAAAGAUAGUUUGAGUAAUAAUCACAGGUUCUGAUUCACAAUGCAUUAAUAAAUAUUCAUAUGGUACCAGCCGCUGAAACUUUCCAGAUACAGAAAUAAAGUGAGAAAGCCUGUUCUUGCCUUACACUUUACUAAGUUUAGAUUUCCAGACACACAUGUCAAUAUCUCCAUUAGGUUCCUGUAAAAGUUCUUUUAUUUUUCACUGCGUUCCAAGUCUUGAUGGUGAAACAUUCAUCUUUCCUGUUUCAUUCCAAAUGUCCCAGUAUUUCCCCCACUCAAACCACAAGAAAGUAGAAAGAAGUGAUGGUCUAUUAGUAAAGAAGAGACCUAUAAUUUAAGUAGAAGAUAGAGGUGGAAGGAAAUGAGCAUUUCUCGUUGAAUUAGGCACAGGUAAAUGAGCUAUAUAUCCCAUUGGAUGUCCACAUCCCCAAAUGAAUUCGAACGGUGGGAUGCCUGAUUUUGCAACAGCAAGCAAAACACAUUUAUGCGUUUUUCUUUUGUUAUUAUCAUUGUCUUUGUUUUAAAGGAGCAGGGAGUUUUUCGAGAGCACAAGGGAAUGCUACGACAUUACUCAGGGUUGAAACAACUUGGGAAGCGUAAUUUGGGGGGUGUGAAAGCAUCAGGAUGCUUGGUCCAGGUUUGUUUUCCUGCAUUUCAGGAAAACAGCUGUGGGAAAAGAAGGGAGAGGCUUGGUGCAGAACUGGUUUGGAUUUUUGGGAGGGAGGAAGGAAGAAAGUGAGACAAGAGUGCUUUGCAGGGGCUCAGAUCCCCCUGGCUGGGGGCCACAGCCCUCCCCUCGUGAGUACCUAGUUUGGGUAUUGGAGGCUUCCUGAUGGAUGUCCAUGAGUGCUGCAAUCGCUAGCACAACAGGGCUCGUUGAGGUUGCUAUGACAUCCUUUGUUCCCCAUUUCCCUGCUUUUACUGGCAUAUGUACCUUGGCUUGUAUGUAGAACCGGAGGGCUUUGUGUUGCAUUUUCAUUUUCCCCUCUGUUUUAUUAAUCACUGCGUCCUUUUAUCUCCGUGCACAUCCCCAAGUCUUCUCCCUAGACUUCACAGAAUCUUUCAUUUGGGUUCCAUUCUUUGCGUUCCCUCAGAUGAUCUCUGUUGGCUCUAAAUGAGUUUUUGUUGUUUCUCACCCUCUCUCCCCUCCUUGGCCUUCGUAUUAUUUUUUCCUGUUAAUUAAUUCCAUCUCCACAGACUUUUAUUUGCGUUUUUUCAUUUUCUUAUUCUUCUCUGUCUUCUUUGAAAAUCUGAGGGUAAUGUUCUGGGCACUUGUCUGUGGCUCGGAGUUCUAGGAAGGGAGAGGCUGGGGAGGGUGGCUUCCAAGCAGGUAGGGCACAAGACCAGCAGGAACGAGCAGCCUCAAGCCAGGGCUCACCGCGGAAGCCUCUGACCAAGUGCCUCCUGGUCAAGAGAGGGUUAUUUCCAGGGCCGGGUGCAGGGGCUCAUGCCUGUAAUCCCCGCACUU